AUAGUCUGUCUGUACAUACAGUCAUACACUUCAAUAAAAAUGAAAUACUUAGUUAUUUUCGUUCUUUGCUUCAUCGCUUUCGCGGCAGCCAACCCCCAGUUGCUGACAUGGCCGGGCAUUGUCGCACCUCUCGCCCCUAGGACUGUCGUUGCGGGACCAACUGUAGUGAAUGGACUCUACGGCGAUCGUGUUGUGUCUCCCGGCGUUAUCACCACCGGUUUCAUAUAAAAUAUGUUUAAAGGAAUAUCAUCAAAUAAACCAUUAUGUCAUGUUAACAUACAGUAUACGAGCAAUCGGUUCCUAUAUGAAUACAUUUUUAUGCAACUGAAAUAAAGUAUUUCGAAUUGAA